rnacentral:lncRNA from 1 species
AUGAAGAGAAAAAUGGAUGGUCACUUGGACAGUGAACAGCACUCUAGAGUCCCCAUCUGGACUGUGGAAGGCGAGUUAGCUGCCGCACUUUUUGAACCUGAAUAUUCUGUGAGGUACAGCCCAUUACUCCCCUCGUCAUUACCCAUUCAGGUCAUCCUUUUGUUUUUUGAUUCAUUUAUCCCGACAAAGGCCGUCUUAUGCACCGUCUAUUUCAGUCAUUUUUAUGAGUGCCGUGGAAUAUUUUCAAGCUAUCCCUUUUAAGCACUAUCUCUUGGCAGUUAAGAAAAUAGAUCCAUUGCAAGCACUGGAGUUUCUGAAAAGGGGUUUAAAAAUAGCUCAGGGCACUAGACAGCUGUAGCUACUGAGAAAUGGAGCCCUUUGCUUGCUCUUUUGCUGGUUUCCAUUUCAAUCCUGCAGCUGGAAAUCGUAGCUCUUCCUCUGCUGGGAACAGAUGCAAAAGGAGGUAGGAAGGGACCAGGGCCCUCUCCUAACUUUGGGUCUCACUUGGCAAUGUGUGAAGGCCGAGAGGCCCUGGGUAAUGGAGAGUGGGCAUAUCAAACUCUUGGGUUUGAAAAAGCCUGUUCAAUAUUACGAUAUAUCUUUAUAUUUGGAAAUGUAAGAAAUAAGCCUAUUGGUUUUGUCAUGCAAAUUAUAGGACACAAAUGGGAUCAAAUCCUCUUGGCUGUUAGGGAUAGGCAAAAACACAUUGACUGAUAACAACACUUAACCUCUCGUGUAGAACCGAGGACAAUGCUAAAUGGACAAUGCUAAACAUAGCUGUUAUCACCAGGGAAUUGUUGAGGGACCUGCCCCGGGUCACAGAACCAGGAAACGAGGGAGGCAGGUGGUAACACACACUCCAGAGUCCCUGCUCUUUUCCACUACACCAUACUGCCUUUUAACUGGGGGUGCACAAGGUUUUAACACUUCUCAAAAGGCACCAUGGAUGUUUAAAAGUAGAAAAACCCAAGGACAGACAUGAAAAAUCUCGAUUGCAAGCUUCGCUCUGCCGGGAUGCCAAUCAAUAAAUGUUUGCUGAGUAAAUGAAUGACUGCA